GGAAUUCGACUAAGCCAUGCAAGUCAGAGCACCUUGAGUGCUCGGCAAACGGCUCAGUAACACGUAGCUAACCUACCUUAUGGUGGCGGAUAACCUCGGAAAACUGAGGGUAAUACGCCAUAGUUGAUUAUUACUGGAAUGUAUUUUCGACAAAAGCCUUCGGGCGCCGUAAGAUGGGGGCUGCGGCUGAUUAGGUUGUUGGUGGGGUAAUGGCCCACCAAGCCAUUGAUCAGUACGGGCUCUGAGAGGAGUAGCCCGGAGAAGGGAACUGAGACAAGGUCCCUAGCCCUACGGGGUGCAGCAGGCGCGAAACCUCUACAAUGUACGAAAGUGUGAUAGGGGGAUUCCACGUGCAAGCUAUGCUUGCUUUUCUCAAGUCCAAAACGCUUGGGGAAUAAGGGCUGGGCAAGACCCGUGCCAGCCGCCGCGGUAAUACGGGCAGCUCUAGUGGCGUUCGCGAAUAUUGGGCCUAAAGCGUACGUAGCCUGUUAAACAAGUUCUUGGUGAAAGCUUGCGACUUAAUCGUGAGAGUUGCCAGGAAAACUGUUCGACUUGGGACCGGAAGAGGUCGGAGGUAUUCCAGGGGUAGGGGUAAAAUCCUGUAAUCCUUGGAGGACCAUCGGUGGCGAAGGCGUCCGACUGGGACGGGUCCGACGGUGAGGUACGAAAGCUAGGGGAGCGACCCGGAUUAGAUACCCGGUUAGUCCUAGCCGUAAAUGAUGUCUGUUUGGUAUUGCUGAGCUUACGAGGCUUUGCAGUGCCGUAGGGAAGCCGUUAAACAGACCGCCUGGGGAGUACGGCCGCAAGGCUGAAACUUAAAGGAAUUGGCGGGGGAGUACUACAAGGGGUGGAGGCUGC
rnacentral:rRNA from 1 species